rnacentral:rRNA from 1 species
AACGAACGCUGGCGGCAUGCCUAACACAUGCAAGUCGAACGAAGUCUUCGGACUUAGUGGCGCACGGGUGCGUAACGCGUGGGAAUCUGCCCUUGGGUACGGAAUAACUCAGAGAAAUUUGUGCUAAUACCGUAUAAUGUCGUAAGACCAAAGAUUUAUCGCCCAAGGAUGAGCCCGCGUAAGAUUAGCUAGUUGGUAGGGUAAAAGCCUACCAAGGCGACGAUCUUUAGCUGGUCUGAGAGGAUGAUCAGCCACACUGGGACUGAGACACGGCCCAGACUCCUACGGGAGGCAGCAGUGGGGAAUAUUGGACAAUGGGCGAAAGCCUGAUCCAGCAAUGCCGCGUGAGUGAUGAAGGCCCUAGGGUUGUAAAGCUCUUUUACCCGGGAUGAUAAUGACAGUACCGGGAGAAUAAGCUCCGGCUAACUCCGUGCCAGCAGCCGCGGUAAUGUCUGUACU